UUUAGGAGAAAACAAAAUGAACGAAGUUCAUUUUAUAUAAAUGUUUCCGACGAAUAGCCGCCGACCGAAGGGCGUGGGCAAUACAUAUU
rfam:Eubacterium sp. CAG:156 genomic scaffold, scf193